CGAACGCUGGCGGCAGGCUUAACACAUGCAAGUCGAACGCGCCCUUCGGGGCGAGUGGCAGACGGGUGAGUAACGCGUGGGAACCUACCUUUCGGUUCGGAAUAACCCAGGGAAACUUGGGCUAAUACCGGAUGCGCCCUUUGGGGGAAAGAUUUAUCGCCGAAAGAUGGGCCCGCGUCGGAUUAGCUAGUUGGUGGGGUAAUGGCCUACCAAGGCGACGAUCCGUAGCUGGUCUGAGAGGAUGAUCAGCCACACUGGGACUGAGACACGGCCCAGACUCCUACGGGAGGCAGCAGUGGGGAAUAUUGGACAAUGGGGGCAACCCUGAUCCAGCCAUGCCGCGUGAGUGAUGAAGGCCUUAGGGUUGUAAAGCUC
rnacentral:rRNA from 1 species